CAAUAGCGUAUAUUAAAGUUGUUGCAGUUAAAAAGCUCGUAGUUGGAUUUCUGGUAGGAGUGACCGUGCCAGACUUGAUUGUCUGUGUAUUGUGUUGUCUCCAGCCAUCCUUGUGGAGAACUUUUCUUGCAUUAAUUUGUAGGGAUUGGGACCCGCAUCGUUUACUGUGAAAAAAUUAGAGUGUUUAGAGCAGGCAAUCGCUUGAAUACAUUAGCAUGGAAUAAUAAGAUAGGACUUUGGUACUAUUUUGUUGGUUUGCAUACCAAAUUAAUGAUCAACAGGAACAGUUUGAGGAUAUUCGUAUGAACAUGUCAGAGGUGAAAUUCUUGGAUUUUGAUCAGACGAACUACUGCGAAAGCAUUUAUCAAGGAUGUUUUCAUUAA
rnacentral:rRNA from 1 species